UGCCAGCCGCCGCGGUAAGACCGGCGCCUCAAGUGGUAGUCGCUUUUAUUGGGCCUAAAACGUCCGUAGCCGGUCUGAUACAUUCGUGGGUAAAUCAACCAGCUCAACUGGUUGAAUUCUGCGAGGACGGUCAGACUUGGGACCGGGAGAGGUGUGGGGUACGCUCAGGGUAGGGGUAAAAUCCUGUCAUCCUGAGCGGACCACCUGUUGCGAAGGCGCCACACUAGAACGGAUCCGACGGUCAGGGACGAAGCCUAGGGGCACGAACCGGAUUAGAUA
rnacentral:rRNA from 1 species